rnacentral:rRNA from 1 species
AGAGUUUGAUCAUGGCUCAGGACGAACGCUGGCGGCGUGCUUAACACAUGCAAGUCGAGCGGUAAGGCCCUUCGGGGUACACGAGCGGCGAACGGGUGAGUAACACGUGGGUGACCUGCCCUUAGCUCUGGGAUAAGCCUGGGAAACUGGGUCUAAUACCGGAUAGGACCACAUGCUGCAUGGUGUGUGGUGGAAAGUUC